CGAAACGAAAGAGAAUCCAUCGCCCCGAAAUUUUCAUUUCAAAUCUGUCCCUUACUCUCGAAAACCAGGCGUCCCCCUCUUUUGCUCUCUGAACUCAGAGCACCACUCUCUCUCACUCUCUGGAACUCGGAGAGGCCCUCUCUCUCACACUCUUUAUGUCAGACCAGGUCCUCUCUCUCGCUCUCUGGAACUCAGACGGACCCUAUCUCUUGCUCAAUCGAACUCAGAUCAGUCCGGCCCUCUCGUUCACUCAAUCGAGCUCAGAUCAGGUACGCUAUCUCUCUAUCUCAUUUUUUAGGGCAUAUUUAUGAAUCUCUCUCUAUCUCAUUUUUUUAGGGCAUGUUUUUACAGUUCCUCUAUCUGUUUCUACCUUGAUUAAUUUUUGAGCACGUUUUUACAGUUUCUCUAUCUCUAUCUACCUCGAAAUAUUUUAGGGCAUGCUUUUAUAGUUUUUUUUUCUCUCUACCUUGAAAUAUUUUAGGGCAUAUGUUUUUAGUUUGAUUCUACAUUUUUUUUAGGUAUAAGGUUGCAAGUAUUUGGAUAUUUUUUCUGGUAUAUGUUUUGCAAUGUACACAUGCUCGUUUUUUCAUUUAUUUUAUUGUUUUUUCUGGUAUUAAUAAGAUAUUUUCACCUUGGAAUAUAUGAGAUUAAGCAGGUCUUACUGUGGAAACAUUUUUCUGGUUUACUGUUGAUUUGGAAACAUAUUACAAAACUAGAACUCAGAUUGCUGUGGAAACAUUUUAUUGGUUUUACUGUGGAUUUGGAAACAUAUUACAAAAACAUAAAAACGCAGAUCACGGUGGAAACAUAUUACUGGUUUUAAUUUGGAAACAUAUUACUGGUUUUACUAUGGAUUUUCUGUUACUUUUAUUUGUGAUCUCCAUUCUAAUGGAGAUGCUAUUGUUCGAGACAAAGGCACUAAGAUUGAACUAAACAUUAUUGACUUUAAUUAAUUACCAAAACCCAAGGCAGUAACUUAAAAGUACGAUUCAGUUUUGAACAAUUCUGUAUAGAGAACUUUUCAUCUCCCUUUAGUAUAUGUCGGCAGCGCAUGACUCAAUUUGUUGCCCUUAUCUUUUUAUAAAUAUGCAUAAUUGCCUUGACGACAUUUAUUCUCCAUUUGCGUAUACUCUUCUCAAAGACAUUUGUAUUGCAAUUUUAUCCUUUAUAUACUCAUUUCAAGGAUAUAAUUGUAUCUUUGAGAUGAGUAUAUGCAAAUGAAUUUCUUUUUUGGCAAAUGUCUCAAAGUAAGUGUUUUUUUUCAUUGCUUGUAUAAGUUGUGUUAUUUUGAGAUGUCUUCUUCGGGAUCUAAUAGGAAUGGUGAUCUUGGUUGGAAAUACGGCUACAACCCAGAUCCUAAUGAUAAGAAUUGUAUAAGAUGCAAGUUUUGUGAGAAAGAUACAAAAGGGACAUCAACCGGUUCAAGAAAGAUCUUGCUGAUAUCAGGGGGCAUGUUGCCCCAUGUAAAGGAAUCCUGAUGUUGUUAAAGAGGAAAUAACCAAUUUUUUGAGUAUGAUAAAAAUGAAAAAAGAUGAGAAAUUUGUCUCCAUAGCAGAGAUUAGGUCUGUGAUUCAGGUCAGUUAUGAUGAUGAUAAUAGUGAUGAGGAUGGGGAAGGAUGUCAAGAGGUAGAAUAAUUCUUUAUUAGGGGAAAUGGAAAGGGAGUUAUACUUGCUUCUGGUUCUGGGAGUAAGAAGCCUCAGGUUAGAGGCCCUAUAGAUAGUUUUAUGCCCCGGCCUGACCCUAAAGUUGCAAGAGAGAAAACAAAGAAGCGAACCACUAUUGAAAAUAGAAUGAAGAAAGAAGAGAGAGAUAGGGUUGCUUUUUUUUAUUGCUACAUGGUUAUUGAGGCGAACAUUCCUUUCAAUAUUGCUCGCCUAAGCAGCUUCUAUGCUUUGGUAGAGGCAAUUGGCCAAUUUGGGCAUGAGAUGAAACCCUCAACCCCAUAUGAGCUUUCAUAGACUCUUUUGAAAAAAGUGGUGAGUGUCACGAAGGAUGUUGUAGAAGUUAAGGAUGCAUGGGCUCAGUAUGGAGUUUCUAUUAUGAUUGAUGCUUGGAGUGAUGAAGAGAAGAAGUCAAAUGAAUUUGUUGUGAAUUGUCCUUUAGGGAAUGUUUUUUGGAGGUCUAUUGAUGCAUCUGAUUAUACCCAUGAUGUCCAUUACAUAUUCUAAGUUAUAGAGAAGGGAAUCAAGGAGCUUGGGGAGCAUCUUGUUGUACAAGUUGUCACAGACAAUGUUGCUCCUAAUGUUGCUAUUGCUAAUCUGUUGCGCAUAGCUUAUCCUAGAAUCUUUUGGAUACCAUGUGCUGCACAUUGUAUAGACCUCAUGCUUGAGGCACUUGGCGGUUUAACCGAGAUAUCAGGUGCAGUUAAGAAGGCAAAGUCAGUUACAAAUUUCAUUUAUAGCCACCAUCUCACCCUCAACAUGAUGCGUAGAUUUCAAAGAAGAAAGAGAUUGUGAGGCCUGGGGUCAUGAGAUUUGCGACCUGGUACUUAUGCCUAGAUAGCAUACAUUCGAGGGCGUGUAGUUGAGGCAGAUGUUUACCUCGGAUGACUGAAGAGUAUGCAAGUGGUCCAAAGAUCAGGUUGGGAAGAAGGUGAGAGAUAUUAUCUUUUUUAAGGCUUUUUGACGAGGGGUGAAUGGCACUCUUAAGGUAUUUUUUUUUCUUAUCAAAGUCUUUCGCAUGGUUGAUAGUGACAAGGCUUCUAUAGGCUACAUAUAUGAGGCUAUGGAGAAAUGCAAAA
rnacentral:lncRNA from 1 species